UGGUUAAGUUAGAAAGGGCGCACGGUGGAUGCCUUGGCACUAGGAGCCGAUGAAGGACGGGACAAACACCGAUAUGCUUCGGGGAGCUGUAAGUAAGCGUGGAUCCGGAGAUUUCCGAAUGGGGAAACCCCCUGUCCGUAAUGGGGCAGGAUCCAUACCUGAAUCCAUAGGGUAUGGAGGGCAGACCCGGGGAACUGAAACAUCUAAGUACC
rnacentral:rRNA from 1 species